UGGCGCACGGGUGAGUAACGCGUAGGUAAUCUACCUCUGCAUCUGGGAUAACACUUCGAAAGGGGUGCUAAUACCGGAUACACUUAUUGAUCGCAAGGUUGAUAAGGAAAGGAGACCUCUCCUUGGAAGUUUCUGUGUAGAGAUGAGCCUGCGUCCCAUUAGCUAGUUGGCAGGGUAAGAGCCUACCAAGGCGACGAUGGGUAGCGGGUCUGAGAGGAUGAUCCGCCACACUGGAACUGAAACACGGACCAGACUCCUACGGGAGGCAGCAGUGAGGAAUAUUGGACAAUGGGCGCAAGCCUGAUCCAGCGACGCCGCGUGAGUGAUGAAGGCCUUUGGGUCGUAAAGCUCUGUCAGCAGGGAAGAAUGGCCGUGCGGUUAAUACCCGUGCGGAUUGACGGUACCUGCAGAGGAAGCACCGGCUAACUCCGUGCCAGCAGCCGCGGUAAUACGGAGGGUGCGAGCGUUAAUCGGAAUUACUGGGCGUAAAGGGCGCGUAGGCGGCCAAUCAAGUCAGGUGUGAAAGCCCACGGCUUAACCGUGUGAAGUGCAUCUGAAACUGGUAGGCUUGAGUAUCGGAGAGGAAAGUGGAAUUCCCGGUGUAGAGGUGAAAUUCGUAGAUAUCGGGAGGAAUACCGGUGGCGAAGGCGACUUUCUGGACGAAUACUGACGCUGAGGCGCGAAAGCGUGGGGAGCAAACAGGAUUAGAUACCCUGGUAGUCCACAGCUGUAAACGAUGUGCACUAGAUGUGGGGAAGUGCUGACCUUUCCUGUGUCGCAGCUAACGCAUUAAGUGCACCGCCUGGGGAGUACGGCCGCAAGGUUAAAACUCAAGGAAUUGACGGGGGCCCGCACAAGCGGUGGAGUAUGUGGUUUAAUUCG
rnacentral:rRNA from 1 species